rnacentral:hammerhead_ribozyme from 1 species
AUCCAGCUGACGAAUCCCAAACAGGAAAAAACGAGCGUUCUAGAU